rnacentral:rRNA from 1 species
GACAGAGGGUGCAAACGUUGUUCGGAAUUACUGGGCGUAAAGCGCGUGUAGGCUGCUUCGCAAGUCGGAUGUGAAAGCCCUGGGCUCAACCCAGGAAGUGCAUUCGAAACUGCAGAGCUGGAGUCCUGGAGAGGAAGGCGGAAUUCUCGGUGUAGAGGUGAAAUUCGUGGAUAUCGAGAGGAACACCGGUGGCGAAGGCGGCCUUCUGGACAGUGACUGACGCUGAGACGCGAAAGCGUGGGGAGCAAACAGG